rnacentral:rRNA from 1 species
GAAACCCUUGCCCGUUAGUUACCAGCGGGUCAUGCCGGGAACUCUAGCGGGACUGCCGGUGUUAAACCGGAGGAAGGUGGGGAUGACGUCAAGUCAUCAUGGCCUUUAUGCCUAGGGCCAUCACACGUGCUACAAUGGCCGGGACAAAGCGACGCAAGACCGCGAGGUGGAGCUAAUCGCAAAAACCCGGCCCCAGUUCGGAAUUGCAGGCUGGCAACUCGCCUGCAUGAAGUUGGAAUCGCUAGUAAUCGUGAAUCAGCUAUGUCACGGUGAAUGUCGUUCCUGAGCCUU